rnacentral:rRNA from 1 species
ACGAACGCUGGCGGCGUGCGUAACACAUGCAAGUCGAACGGUGAAGCGCCUUCCUUUUUGGUGGGUGUGGAUGAGUGGCGAACGGGUGAGUAACACGUGAGUAACCUGCCCCCUUCUUCUGGAUAACCGCAUGAAAGUGUGGCUAAUACGGGAUAUUCUGGGUCUGUCGCAUGAUGGGUCUGGGAAAGAUAUUGUUUCGGUGGGGGAUGGGCUCGCGGCCUAUCAGCUUGUUGGUGGGGUGAGGGCCUACCAAGGCGGUGACGGGUAGCCGGCCUGAGAGGGUGGACGGUCACACUGGGGCUGAGACGCGGCCCAGACUCCUACGGGAGGCAGCAGUGGAGAAUAUUGCACAGUGGGCGCAAGCCUGAUGCAGCGACGCCGCGUGAGGGAUGGAGGCCUUCGGGUUGUGAACCUCUUUCGCCAGUGAAGCAGGCCUGCCUCGUUUGUGGGUGGGUUGACGGUAGCUGGAUAAGAAGCGCCGGCUAACUACGUG